CCCCGGCCCCCGACCGCACAGACACUCACUAAACGGGGCCUUUCCAUCGGGCUCCACAAAAUUACUUGGGUCCGGCCGGCCUGUUGCCUCACACUGGCCAGAGCGGGUGGGGGACCAGAAUGAAGGAAUUCCGCUGCAGCGACUUGAUUUUCCAUCCCCUGAGCAGAAAGGCUCCGUUGCUCAUCCCCAGGAUCACAGGAGACAAUCAUAUCUGGAUAGGCUUGGAUUGGUCCUGGAGGCCACACGGGUGCUGCUAACUGGUGUGCCAGUGGCCAGGAGAGGGCCUGGCCCUCAGCACCCGUCCCUGUCCCACAUCUCCUCUGGCACUGGGAGCUUGAGGCCCACAACUGAAAACUGCAGCAGUCUGGCCAUCUGCCCUCACCUGCCCACUGCAACUGGGUCCCAAAUGAAGAUCUCUACCUGUCCCACCCAAGACAGAGGCUGGACAGUGGCUGCCACGUGCCCCCUGUGAUUGCCAACAGCCAGGGCCUGAUGGCUUGCUUCCUCAUGCCAAGUCUGAUGGGAAUCCCGAUCCUGCUGGCCCCCCUCAUCCACCCCAGCCCUGUCCAUCCAGGACCACCUCUGGGAGUCUGUCGGCCUGCUGACUCCAUCCACAGAUCUCCAGGGGCAGCCUCUGAGGGACAAGAGUGACACAGGGCUGGAGGAAAGAAGAGGAGGAGCCAGGGGCCUCCUUGGGUCUGAUACACAACUGAGCCCCUUUCAAAACCUGGUCUCACCCUGUUGGUGACUGGCUCCCCAGCUCCAGCCUCUUCCUGGUCCAGCCAGGAAGGGAGGAAGAAGUCUCUUCACUGCGAGUGCAUGUGCAAGCGCAAGCGCAUGCGUGGAGCAGGCGGAGCUGCUCUGGGUGCCAAGCCCUCCCUGUACCUGGGCCUGGGGCCUAGGAAGCUGCUUCCCUACAGGGAGAAAUGUGUGUCCAGCCUCAGUGGCCCCUGCCCUCAGAGGCCCCCCACUGCAGGGAAGCCCCACCCCUCCGGAAGUCCGGAGGGGCACCUGGCAAGCCCGUGGCUGUGGCUAUCUUGGCCCAAAGGGACUGGCCAGAGGAGGGGCAGUGAUGAAUCCUGAGCAUUGUGUCCCUGCCACUGCUUUUCUUAGGGGUUCUGCCUUGCGUAUUAGCCGCUUCUGCUUUCCACCUCCCCUUCCUGCCGCUUUCUCUCCCCCACAGGGCCCUUGCUGCCUGCUGGGGUCUCCAUGCACUUUAUUUAUUUGCAGUCUGUUUUCCAGGCGGUGGAGCUUCUGCAAAUUCAGAUACUGACCUGAAUGGCGUUUACUGUUCUGUGUGUGAUUAACUCUGUACUGCUCAGCACUGUCUGGUCACAGAAAUGUUGUUUCUGGUGUUGUCACUUCUUGUUGUAUCUCUAAGUUACAAAUAAAGUGCUUGGGUUCCAUGCACUACA